CCUACGGGUGGCUGCAGUGGGGAAUAUUGGACAAUGGGGGCAACCCUGAUCCAGCCAUGCCGCGUGUGUGAAGAAGGCCCUCGGGUUGUAAAGCACUUUCAGUGAGGAAGAACGCCUGGUGGUUAAUACCCAUCAGGAAAGACAUCACUCACAGAAGAAGCACCGGCUAACUCCGUGCCAGCAGCCGCGGUAAUACGGAGGGUGCGAGCGUUAAUCGGAAUUACUGGGCGUAAAGCGCGCGUAGGUGGCUUGAUAAGCCGUUUGUUAAAGCCCCGGGCUCAACCUGGGAACGGCAUCCGGAACUGUCAAGCUAGAGUGCAGGAGAGGAAGGUAGAAUUCCCGGUGUAGCGGUGAAAUGCGUAGAGAUCGGGAGGAAUACCAGUGGCGAAGGCGGCCUUCUGGACUGACACUGACACUGAGGUGCGAAAGCGUGGGUAGCAAACAGGAUUAGAUACCCGAGUAGUC
rnacentral:rRNA from 1 species